CAACGUUUCUCUCGGUAGAAAGCGAGAGAUGUUUUCUUAAUUUGUCAAGGAAAUAAAUCAGUGGAACAUUGUUCGUGUUGUACUUCAAUCUGUCUUGCACCGAGUGGAAAGGGCCGAAUGUAGAAAGUAAAUUAAAUGUCAAGGAUGGAAGAAACAAAUACGUCGUAUUUAGUACAGUGUUUUCACUGCGCAUUUAAUUUCUAUAGUCUGGAUAAUUUUCGAAAUAUUUGAUGUUUCGUGUGCAAUAAAACGCAAUCAACAUGGAGGUUAUGUGUCAAUUAUUGUCACAUAUUUACGAAACUCUAAUGAGACGCUGAACUUAAAGUAAAUAACCGUGGAACAGAUAUAUUGCUCUGAAUCAUACAAAAAAAUAAAGGAGGAACAAAGUUAUUCAUUCGACUUUUCAACGCGAAUACUCUCGGUAAGAAAGAAGCCAUUUCACGUCUUCAUUUAUAAAAAGAAAAUAUUUUCAAAAAAAUGAGACAAAUAAAUUACAAAUCACGGAAUAAAGAACAGAGCAAUAGCGACUGUAUAAAAGUUUGUUUACUGCUUUUUUAAUUGGCACAAAGAGAAAAUCCAUCUCAUACAUUGCUCUCUGGUUACAAUUAACAUGAGUUUUAUGUUUACACGCAUCGGAAAACUACCUCCUCGACAAAGACAAAGCAGCUUGCGGUUGUAGAAGAUUAAUUGCGUUAUAAAAUGGCGUCCUUGUCACAGUGCAGACCGGCCUAACAAAGAAUGCUAUUGAGUAAGAUAGAAAGUCAGUGUUCUCCAAAUUCAUAAAUUGGACCACUGUGACGAUCAAUGCCACGUUUGACACGCGGUUUUAACGUAAACGGAGGAACGAAGAUAGGGAAAAAUCGCGGCUUAUCACUGUAUUUCUCGCGUGUUCCGCCAUCUGUCCCAUGCGCGUGCGCAUUCUAUCUGACGAAAGAAUUUCAACGAGACGUGUCAGCGUACGCGAAUUCCCGUGCUGACGAAAAUACACCGGUGAAAAGUUUACGUUCCGCCGACUACAUGUCUGGUCCGGUGAUGUGUCGCGUGCAUGUUUCUCAUGUAAACACGCUAUAGUUAGAGACAGUGAGUAACAUUUUCAACGGACUCGUGUCCGGGAAAAACUCGUUACCAAAAUGAGAUAAUUAUCGCGUGGAUCUAGGAUCGACGAAAAUUUGUAAAAUUCUUCGAAUUAUUUGGAAAUAUAUUUAACGCGAAUUUUGGCCGAUUUACAUGUAACGUAGAGGUACUGUUAACACUGAACCCACUACAGACUAAACGACCGUUCUCAACAUUUUGGAUUAAAAAUUCUGCAUUCAGUGUUAUCAGUUA